GGCUUGCCGUGCAAGGGACCGUCUCUUCUCAUCAGCUGCUUUGGACUUCCGCACUGGAACAAAAAAGGAGUCCUACAGGAGCGAACAGGCUCCUGCUACCCUUUACCCUUUGGACAUCUUCUUGCUUGUUGAAAUGUAACAACUGAGGCAGGAAGGAAAACAGCCCACCAAAAGUCAUCAGGAGCGUCUCCCUGUGCUACUCCCCAAUGUGCCAGCCUGACCUGCUUUGUAUCAUCUCCGAAUCAUCACACCAUACAUGAAAAGCAUGGCAGUACUGGAUAAAACUGGUCCAAAAGCGUUUUUUUUAUUCCCAUGAAGAUCUGUCUCAGCCACAAGUCCUGGCUGUGGGUGUAGAGACCAUGUUGCAGAAGAGUCAGUCUCUCUGAAAUGCAAGAGAGAGAGGACUUAGGAGGGAGUCACUUUCUGAUGUCUGAGCAUCUUGUGAGGAGGCUUCAUGUGAGCAGAGCAGAGCUGCAAUGAAGCCACAUGUGCAUAGGCAGUUAUAUCUCCAGAUCAGAAGUGAAGCAAAGCAGAAUUGCAAAACCCACCUGAAAUCAGUGCAGCCAAACGUAAUCACCACCCCAGCCUUGCUCUGAGUACACAAGCCUUCAUGGGUUAACUGUUACACAUUGGUUCAUUACAUGCACUUCUGUCAGAAAACAUUUAUGUUAGCAGCUGCACCAGCAAGAUGGAAGGAAAACUUCUAGUUUGGGUAUAAGAGAAGGAAAACACAACUGUACAAGUACAGCCCCCAAAAGACAGAACCAGACCUGUUUGUAUCUUACCAUUAUAGAAUGGCUUGGGUUGGAAGGCACCUCAAAGAUCAUCUAGUUCUGACCCCCCUGCCAUGGACAGGGCCACUACACCAGGUUGCUCAAACUCAGUCAGUGUAAAAAAUGAGAUUUCUCUAACUACAUAAUUUUAUUUACUGUUCUGCACAGAAGAGGUGCUGGGUGGUAAAUCCCAGAAGCAGCACCCUGAGGCACAAUCUUGAGCUAUUAAGUCUUAGUUAAGUCACUACUUGAUUUAAGUUGUUAUUGGCUCUUCCUUUCUCUACUUCAAAUUAAAGCUAUUGUGUCCUAAGAAA